rnacentral:rRNA from 1 species
UACGUAGGGUGCGAGCGUUAAUCGGAAUUACUGGGCGUAAGGCGUGCGCAGGCGGUAAGUUAAGUCUGAUGUGAAAGCCCCGGGCUCAACCUGGGAAUGGCAUUGGAAACUGGCUUGCUAGAGUGUGGCAGAGGGGGGUGGAAUUCCGCGUGUAGCAGUGAAAUGCGUAGAGAUGCAGAGGAACACCGAUGGCGAAGGCAGCCCCCUGGGCCGACACUGACGCUCAGGCACGAAAGCGUGGGGAGCAAACAGG